rnacentral:rRNA from 1 species
AUACGGAGGGUGCUAGCGUUAUUCGGAAUCAUUGGGCGUAAAGAGCAUGUAGGCGGUGUGAAAAGUUGGAUGGGAAAGCCCAGGGCUCAACCCUGGAACUGCAUUCAAAACUAUCACACUAGAGAUUGUUAGAGGGUGGUGGAAUUCCUAGUGUAGCGGUGAAAUGCGUAGAUAUUAGGAGGAACACCAGUGGCGAAGGCGACCACCUGGGACAAUACUGACGCUGAGCUGCGAAAGCGUGGGGAGCAAACGGGAGUAGAUACCCCAGUAGUCC